AGAGUUUGAUCCUGGCUCAGGACGAACGCUGGCGGCGUGCUUAACACAUGCAAGUCGAACGAUGAAGGCUUUCGGGCUGGAUUAGUGGCGAACGGGUGAGUAACACGUGGGCAACCUGCCCUCCACUCUGGGAUAACUCCGGGAAACCGGGGCUAAUACUGGAUACGACCUCGGUCCGCAUGGACUGUGGUGGAAAGUUU
rnacentral:rRNA from 1 species